rnacentral:rRNA from 1 species
UACGAAGGGGGCUAGCGUUGUUCGGAUUUACUGGGCGUAAAGCGCACGUAGGCGGAUCGAUCAGUCAGGGGUGAAAUCCCAGAGCUCAACUCUGGAACUGCCUUUGAUACUGUCGAAUCUGGAGUAUGGAAGAGGUGAGUGGAAUUCCGAGUGUAGAGGUGAAAUUCGUAGAUAUUCGGAGGAACACCAGUGGCGAAGGCGGCUCACUGGUCCAUUACUGACGCUGAGGUGCGAAAGCGUGGGGAGCAAACAGG